GUCCUUGAAGUAUAAGAACACUCAGCUUUAGGGGGGUUCUCAGAAGAAAUGACAUUGACUGCCGGAGCAGAACCAGACACUAUAUGAAUGAAGGGAAAAGUCUGCCCACAUCUUCUUUGGACCGGAGCCUGCAGAAAACCUCACCUGUGACUCUGGAGUGCCACCUGCCUGUCUAGAGCGGUUGAGCAGAAAGUAUGGGGCAAUGCUUUUGUUCAAAGUGUUCAGG